rnacentral:lncRNA from 1 species
UUUGGAUCGCUAUUCUCCUUCACUGGUUCAAUCCAUUGCUGCCACUUUUCCUCACAAUUUUUUCGUUUUUUUUCAUUCGUUUUCACCCUUAAUUUUUUCGUUUUUUUAACCAUCCAAAUGUUAUUUUCUUUCUGAUUUUUUUAUGCCUAGUUCUUAUUUGUGACAUUGUCUUUACAAUUUAAUUUUUAUUUUUAUUUUUUCCAUUUAUUUUCCGCUGAUUACGGCCGUUGCAAAAAUGCCCCGUGAACAUUUUAAAAAAUGUAUACUUGUUAGAUUUUUG